GAAAAACCAGAAAAAAAA
rnacentral:rRNA from 1 species